AACGAACGCUGGCGGCAUGCCUAACACAUGCAAGUCGAACGAGACCUUCGGGUCUAGUGGCGCACGGGUGCGUAACGCGUGGGAAUCUGCCCUUGGGUUCGGAAUAACUUCGGGAAACUGAAGCUAAUACCGGAUGAUGACGUAAGUCCAAAGAUUUAUCGCCCAAGGAUGAGCCCGCGUAGGAUUAGCUAGUUGGUGAGGUAAAGGCUCACCAAGGCGACGAUCCUUAGCUGGUCUGAGAGGAUGAUCAGCCACACUGGGACUGAGACACGGCCCAGACUCCUACGGGAGGCAGCAGUGGGGAAUAUUGGACAAUGGGCGAAAGCCUGAUCCAGCAAUGCCGCGUGAGUGAUGAAGGCCUUAGGGUUGUAAAGCUCUUUUACCCGGGACUGAUAAUGACAGUACCGGGA
rnacentral:rRNA from 1 species